UACUCGAGUGGCGAACGGGUGAGUAACACGUGGGUGAUCUGCCUUGCACUCUGGGAUAAGCUUGGGAAACUGGGUCUAAUACUGGAUAGGAACCGUCUUUAGUGUGGUGGUUGGAAAGUUUUUUCGGUGCAAGAUGAGCUCGCGGCCUAUCAGCUUGUUGGUGGGGUAAUGGCCUACCAAGGCGUCGACGGGUAGCCGGCCUGAGAGGGUGUACGGCCACAUUGGGACUGAGAUACGGCCCAG
rnacentral:rRNA from 1 species